GGAUAUCGCUCAGUGGCAGAGCGCUUGCCUGGUGUGCACAAGGGCCUGGGUUUGAUUCACAGUGUCACA
rnacentral:tRNA from 1 species